GGUAUGGGUUAGGGUAUGGGUUUGGGUUAGGGUAUGGGUAUGGAUUAGGGUAUGGGUUAGGGUAUGGGUUUUGGUCAGGGUACGGGUAUGGAUUAGGGUAUGGGUUUGGGUUUGUGUAUGGGUUUGGGUAUGGGUUUGGGUUAGGGUAUGGGUAUGGAUUAGGGUAUGGGUUUGGAUUAGGUCUAACCUAACCUAACACAGUCUCCACAGUGACGUCACAGACCCGAAUUAUCCAUAAUUAUUAUUUUAUUUAUCGAUUAUGAUCGAUUUUUAUCAAUAAGUUGUUGCAGCCCAAGUUGUUCUUUCAGGGGAAUUCUUGAAGGUUCUACGUAGAACUUAUAAGAGCGAGAGAACCUACAUCGUUGAAGUACAACCCAAUACCCAUCCAAAGAACUCUAGACAAACUGUUUUGUUUUGUUUUGUUUUUCAGGAAAAAAGAACCCUGAUAUUCUGAUAAACAUGGAAACCAAGUACAGGUAUUUACAUCACUACCCUUUAUAGCUAGAUAGUGAAUAAAAUCUUUUUAGGCACAUUAGGUAGCACUUUAACUGCAAAAAAUCAACAACAAAAAAACCACAAUAGAACAUCUACAAGUUGUAAGAGUUCUACGGGUUGUUCCACUAGGGGAGACGUUAACAUGUUUAUGUAAAACCCUACAGUACAACAGAGGAUAUCUAUUUCAAGGGUUAAAAAAAAAGGAUUCAAAGAACCCUCAAAGAACUACUGAGGAACGUGAAAAGCAAUCUGUGUGCAAAACGAUGAGCAAGAGUGAGCGACGGACCAGGCGGGAGGACAAACUGUCCAUUGUCCCACUAAUUUGAUGAUAGAGACCAUUUCCAAUCAGCUCAGUGUCUUUUGUUUCACAGAAAACCAACCACAUGUCUCUCAGUCAGUGAACUCUAAAUGAUUUUUAAUCCUGUCUGCAAAGUGGCCGGUCUGAUCAGGCUGACAGACGCUUCCACUUGUUCACUUCAUUCCCCCUGACUGGAAUGGAUCUCACCCACUUUGCGUGACGGCGAAGGACAUCAGGACAUUCUGAAAUGUUUCCUCCAAUAUCUCCAUGAUAGCUAGCAUUAUUGAGUCAGAAGCUUCAUUACAUGAGGCCAGGAUUACGCUACAAUUACUUCCCUCUGAUACAGUGAGACAUAGGACGUCGGUCCAUCUUCAGUACAGGACAAAAUGAUAUCCAAAUCCUGGCGAAGGACGACAAUAUUCGCAUGGCGGUUUGGCUAUCGGUAUACUUCCGAACAAACAAACAUCGACCCGAACAGUGUGAACGUGGGUACGCAGAGAAAGGUUUAUAACCGUGUUGAAUGUCCCAGACAUGCUGAGACGCAUGGUGGAACUGAAUUCUUCCUUCCUGAUUAGCACUGGCCUCGCUCAAAGAACACACUGGAAGCACACAGCAUAAAUCUCUCAGCAAAGAAUUAGAAAUGGAGGCAUGUCACAUAUUUCAACGGUCACUGGUUCACAGCGAGAGAUCUUAUUUGGCAGCAGAUCACUUAGCGUGACGGGCUGAGGUUCUCCGGACUGGUCCUCCGCAGAAUCAUGUAUAUAUAGGCCUCUAUCUCCAUGGUGUGUGUAAAUAGUACAAAUUCACCCUAAAGUUUCCAAGUACAGCCCUUUGUAGAGCGUUCAAAGAAACAUUCAAAGAACUUUUCCAGCACGCUUUUGGAAGAGCUUUCACGCUUAAAAAUGGUCCGUGGAGAACCCCAGAACAGAGAACUUUCCUCUACAGGAAGCUUGGAUCUUACACUUGCUAAGAAUCCUUGAGAUCUAAACCCCCCCCCCAAAGAAAUGAAUCUAAUUUUGCUCCUCUAGGGGGAACCCCCUCAAUGGGUUUACGUAGAUCCCUACAUUUAUUUAUUUAUUUACUUAUUUAUUCUUACACAAUAAGGAACCCCUUAAGGAAGUUCUUCAGGUUGUUCCUCUAGGGGAACCCCCUAAAAGGCGUUUAUGUUUUCCAAAUAAAGGAACCUGAGUUCUUCAGAUUAUUCCUUCAGGGGAACCUCAUAAGGGCUAUACGGAGGAUCUCUCUCAGGAAAAAGAAAACAACGACUUGUAAAGCUUCUUUACAGAACUAGAACUGUUAAAAGAACCCUCAGAGAACUUUGAAAGUGUUUACUCUUAUUUCUCACCCAAAGUAGGGAACCAUGUAGUUCCAUCCAACGCCCUAAAGGGUUCUUCAGUCAGUCGCUAAAAUAGAGGAGUUCCCUUUCAGAAAAAUAAAUAAAUAAAUGCCGAGCUCUUGGGCUAUCUAUCCUAAGAGAAUCAUCUUGAGGAACCAUUUUUAGUUUUUCUAACAUUGUACAUGAUGGCUCUCCUUAUUCUCCCAUCCCUAACAUGCCUAGGCAGCCUCAGUCUUUAUAGCAGUGAUGAUAUCUGACAAGUCCACACUAACAAAAAUGUGCAAGAUGAAUAUCGCAGUCUGCUGCAUGCCCGCUUAUCAGCAUGUGUCUCACAGGAAUUUAUGACGUCACUGGUACUUACCAGUGUAGCUCUGAGAUGUGUGUUUGGUUAGCUGUGUUCUCUGGGCUGGGUCCUCGAGGACGUCUCACAAGCACCCUGAGAGGGGAAAAGAACAGCAUUGUCAAGAGCGGGAACGGAGGAAGCAUGGGAAUCGUGCGGCGUGUGAAAAACAAACAUGAUAUAGAAGAGCAAAAUAGGACGGAGGCAAAUUCCCAAAUCCAGCUCGAGGUUAUCCACGACAUGACGACAGCGUGACUUCUUCACGAGUAAUGUACCGGGAUAGCUUGCUCUCUUCAUCUAACCGGCUCUGGAAGCGCCAAUAAAACCCUCAGGGUUUUACGAACACCUACAGUAUGUAUAAUUGCCCUAUUAGACAUGAGUAAACACACGGGUGUUAAGUCGACACUGGAAAUUUAUCCUGUAAGACUCCUUCAAUAGCUAGUUCAUCCACAUCGUCAUGGCGGCUCUAUUCAGUGGGUAAUUACAGUUAAUAAGAUCGCAGCAGUUAAUCGGCGUGACGUCGCCCCGUUUUGUACCGAGAGUACACUGUGUACGCUUCGAAAAGGUCUCGAACAAUUCCCCGCCGAUGCGCACACAACUAAUUAUGGACUGUCGUCUCACACCCGUCUGUCCUCGACAUCUCACGCCCGUCUGAGAACAAAAGGGAAAAGAAAUGUAUUGCCGUUGGAUGAUCUGCGGUUAGUUUGACAAUAAAGCUUUUUACGUUAAAUGACUUAAGAGAAGUGUUCACACCUCGGCCCAUGAGAAGUGUACACACAAGAGACGCACGAGAACUUGUGCGGAAGUAAGGAAGGAAAGAAGGGAAGAAGGAAAAAGAAGGAAUUGCAGCGACAGGGAAGGAAGGAAGGAAGGAAGGAAAAAAGGAAGUACAUCAAUGCAGAUGGAAGGAAGGAAGGGAAGAAGGAAAUGAGUAAAGGAAGGAAAUGCAGAGACAAGGAAGGAAGGAAGGAAGGAUGGAAGGAAGUACAUCAAUGCAGAUGGAAGGAAGUAAGGAAAGAAGGAAAUGAGUAAAGGAAGGAAGUACAGAAUCAAGGAAAGAAGGAAAUGCAGAGACAAGGAAGGAAGGAAAGAAGGAAAGAAGGAAAGGAAGGAAGUACGGAGACAAGGAAGGAAGGAAGGAAGGAAGUACAUCAAUGCAGAUGGAAGGAAGUAAGGAAAGAAGGAAAUAAGUAAAGGAAGGAAGUACAGAAUCAAGGAAAGAAGGAAAUGCAGAGACAAAGAAGGAAGGAAAGAAGGAAAGAAGGAAAGGAAGGAAGUACGGAGACAAGGAAGGAAGGAAGGAAGUACAGAGACAAGGAAGUAAGGAAGGAAGUACAUCAAUGCAGAUGGAAGGAAGUAAGGAAAGAAGGAAAUGAGUAAAGGAAGGAAGUACAGAGACAAGGAAAGAAGGAAAUGCAGAGACAAGGAAGGAAGGAAAGAAGGAAAGAAGUAAAGGAAGGAAGUACAGAGACAAGGAAGGAAGGAAGUACAUACAUCAAUGCAGAUGGAAGGAAGUAAGGAAAGAAGGAAAUGAGUAAAGGAAGGAAGUACAGAAUCAAGGAAAGAAGGAAAUGCAGAGACAAAAAAGGGAGGAAAGAAGGAAAGAAGUAAAGGAAGUAAGUACAGAGACAAGGAAGGAAGGAAAUGCAGAGACAAGGAAGGAAGGAAGGAAAAAAG
ensembl:lncRNA